ensembl:lncRNA
AUGAUGUCCGAUAUUGUUAGCAACUGGAAGCUGGAGCAAUUUGUGCUCCAGAAGUGUCUCCCUCCAAUUUGGUCCCCUGGGGCCUUUCAGGGCCCCGAGGCGUACCAGCAGCUGUGUCAGCAGUGGGAGAGCUGGUCUGAGGAGAACAAAAAGCCCAAACCCACUAACAAGUGCAAAAAGAGAGCGGCCUUGCAGGGUUUGCUGAUGGUGGGCAGGGAGUUGUCGAAGUUGCUUAAGGAGGCUCUUGAGAGUGUGCAGACACUGGAGCAGGCCAAGGGUGAGCUCAAAAUGCAGGUGGAUAACCUGCGGGCAGAGGUUCAGGGUCUGUGUGGGGACUCGCUGAGGAGCGCGGUGGAGAUAACCCGGCUGGAGAGUAAGCUGGGCUAUGAGAAGUUGAAAACAGAGGAGUUAGAGAAGGAGGUGGGCAAAUGGAUUGGGGAGACACAUGAUGCGCAGAGCGCGGUGCGGGCUGUCUUGCAGGACGCCCAGCGGGACCGCGGCACUGGCCCUGAUCACAAGGUGUGUCAUGCCAAGAUCCAAGAGCUGCAGGCCGAGCUGGGGGUGUCGCGGGGCAUUGUGGCUGCCAUCCAGGGCAAGAGGAGUCGGUUCGGGAACGGCGAGGGGGAUGACUGUCUCGAUCCACACCCACCCCACUAUGACUAUGAGGAUGAUGUGUGGGGGGCCAAUGGCCCCACCAGGCCAUCCCCAUAUGCUCCUCUGCGGGAGGAGGUGUGCCAGCUGCAGGGCAACGAAGCAGAGGCUGCUAAAACUAAGAAAAGUCCUUCCGAUGAGCCAGUCAGCCAUGGCCCACUGCAGGCCAUCGAUACCAACCGGGCCAUGCUUUGGUUCACCCCCGAGCAGCUCAAGACGGUGGGAAAGAUGCUGGGGCCGCUGACCAAAGAGACAGCGGUCAACUGGCUGUCCAGGGCCCAGAGGCUGCCCCGGUGCCAGAGCGGCAGUGCGGUCAGUGACCUGAUAGACGUGGUGAGGAAGUGCAUGAAACCUGAUGAUUUCGCGGCCCUGCCAGGGGAUGUGCAAAUGGGCAAUGUCCAGGAUAUCGGGGACGUCCAAUCGGCUGUGCUAAAGGUGUUUUUCCCAGAGGUCAACCCCUUGGUGCUCUUCCACCAGGAGAAGCAGAACCCUGAGGAGCGGCCAGAUGCCUAUGUCAACCGUAAAAAGAUGCUCUACCAGAUGGCAGGGCUGCCUGGUUCUAAGGAGUCCCCCCUCGAUUUUGACAGGCCUGAAUUCAAGGAGCCGCUGGUGGUGGGGCUGACCCCCCCUUUGCGGGUGAUUGCGGGUGGGGAUGCGGCAAGAAAGCCGCUGUCAGAGCUAGAACAGAUCUUGACCCAGAAUUUUGAGCUACAAAAGCAGGCGUUCCCGGGGUACAUGCUGGGGGGGAAAAAGGGGAAACCCUCAGCCAUGUCCUUCCAAAACGGGGGGAUGAGGAAAAUGCAAGGGGACAACCGGAAAGAUCCCGAUGGCAAGAACAGCUCGGGGAAGGAAAACCAGCAAGGGCUGAGGUUUCAGAAGUCCAACCCUUGGCGGGCUGAGCUGAGGAAGCGCUUGAUCAAAUAUGAGAAGCAGGAGGACAUUGAUGGCUUGCCAGACGCAGAGCUGUUUAGAAAGCUGGCGCUGCACGAGGCCAAGAAGCACAGCAGCUCCAACCCCAUUGACCCGGGGUCUAAGGCUCAGCAAUAG